CAAUCCCAGCAAACACCCGAUGUUGACCCAACGUUGGAUCAACGUUGAAUUUUGGUCGCGACGUCGGUGACCUUCAUACAACGUCAAAUCAACGUUGAAUCCCCGACGUCUAACAGACGUUUCAUUUUGACGUCGGCUCGACGUCGGGUUUUGGUCGGUAAUCUGACAAUAGGUGAAUUUAAUUUAUGAAACCAAUAUAUAUAUAAAUGAAAGCAUAAACAGCGAGAAUUUUAAGUUUAAGUUUAGAAAGGGAACAUUAUAUAUUUAUUUUCUCCAUCAAAACAACAGUAUCACGUGGGUGGCUAACGUACGAUAUUCGAUAGGUGGCGCUCUGUAAACGGAUAGUCGCAGAUCAGUAUGAAAUAUAUUUGCUCUAUUUUCGUUUAAAUAAUAUCUUAUCUCCUCGAAUUAGUCUAAGAAGUGUUUAUAUAAUUUACAAUGAAGCUGUUAUCAUUUUUGAGGGCUUCAUUUUAUAGUGGUAAAUAAUUUAGUAAAUUCGAAUUUGCGACUUAUCGGAUUUGAAAUUCAAUUGUAUUGGCGGACAAAAAAACGACGGGUUGACAGACAAAGUUGUAUAUUCCAAACAAAAGAAAAAGGUAGGCAAACAUUAUAUAUUGUUUUUCAAUGCUUAUUUACCGCAUGUUUGAUUGGAUUCGAUGGUUAUUUGAUCAUUGAAAUGUUUGACUGGUAAAACUUAAUGUAACGUGAUUUCGCGAGAUAAAUAUUUUUGUUUCCACGUAAGAACACUUUAUCAUUUGCUAUAGAACAGUCUGUAUAAUCGGAUCAUUUUUCCCACACUAUAUCGCCAUGCCAAAUAAAUGCACAAUCAAUGGUAGGAAAUAUCUUAGCAAUUGAAAUCAAUAAAAAGUUAAAUGCAGUACGUAAUAAUCUUAUUAUUUAAAUGCUGGUAAAUAAAAUUUCCUCUUAUUUCUUAUCAACAUGAAUUUCCCUUAUAUGAGGGGCCAGUCAUUUACACAUGUAUCAGAUGCAGUUUGAUUUGAUAUCUGUGUAGUUGUUAAACUACUCGUUGUUAAUUGAAGUACUUUACCAAUACUGUUAGCAUACCAUGUGUUUCUUAUAUUAUGAAAAUGAUUCAUGGCAUUUGAUACAUGUAAAUGAUACGACUUUGGUAAGAUAUACCUGAAAGCACAUUGUAUUUGACUAGCUAUCUUUUUAUUAAUGUAAUCAAACAACAUAUUAUCAAUCAGAAAACACAUUAUCAUAGUUAUAAAUCAAUAAAGGUAAUAGUUUGUUAAUUAGCCUGCUUAUCAACAAGUUGUAUGCUCGUAUCAUAAAACGUUUUUACACUAAGCCAGUCUGUCCUAUAUACACUUAGCAGACCAGAUCAUGCUGGGCAGAGAUGAUAUCUAUAAAAAUGACAGUAACAUGUGAAUUUCUUUGAUGUUGUAUGAGCAUUUGUACAAAGUACAUUGAAUAUAAAAAAUAACAAUAUCAAUUUUUGCGGGAGUAGAAUUAAUUUCAUUUUGGUAUUUGUUAUAUCAGUUUUUCAUGCGCUUAUGAGUUAACUAAGAUUAAUAGUAAUUGGAUUUUGCCUAUUGUAUUAGACAAACAUCCUUCCACCACAUGGUUAAAUUCUAAAACGAUUAUAUUUCGUCUUUCAGAUUGUGAAAAUUAUGAUAAUUCAACAUGUGUCAAAAGUUCAGGAGGAAGAUGAAAAUAUUUAGAGGAAAAGAAAAAUGAAAACCUACCAAGAUUUUGUGACAGAAAGUGUGAUGAGAUCUCAGGUUGGAGACGGUAAUGAUACGCUUAUAGUAUGCCCCAGAUCGACAUAGUGUAGGAGGACGAAAGAAGCUAGAAUACUAAUGAAGAUACAUGAACAUUGCUAUUUAUAGUUAUAACAAAAUAUUCAGAAUAUUGUUCCAUUUAACAUUCAGAUCUAGAUUCAGUUAUAAAAUACAAAGUCAAGUAUACAAUCAGUGAGUUGGAUAGAUGAUUGAAAAAUCCCAAACUCAGAGUGAUCAGUUCAGUGGUGAUAUAAGAAAAAACAUAUGCAUGGAUGUUUGCUAUAUAAAAUGUCAGUGUUAAUAUUCAAGAAGGAUUUUGUUUAUCUUAUUUCUAAAACAUGCUUAAUUUAUACAUGAAGCGUUAUUAAAGUACAUACCGUCAAGUUUAAUAGUUUCAAAAAAUAUUAUGUAAAUCUUGCAUUUAUUAUAGUACCACAUUUCUUGUUUUGUACUUGUGAUUCCGAGUAUAAAAUAAAUUGCUAAAAUCAUAAGAA